UACGUAGGUGGCAAGCGUUAUCCGGAAUUAUUGGGCGUAAAGCGCUCGCAGGCGGUUUCUUAAGUCUGAUGUGAAAGCCCACGGCUCAACCGUGGAGGGUCAUUGGAAACUGGGAGACUUGAGUGCAGAAGAGGAGAGUGGAAUUCCACGUGUAGCGGUGAAAUGCGUAGAGAUGUGGAGGAACACCAGUGGCGAAGGCGACUCUCUGGACUGUAACUGACGCUGAGGCAUGAAAGCGUGGGGAGCAAACAGG
rnacentral:rRNA from 1 species